UACAUAGGGAGCAAGCGUUAUCCGGAUUUAUUGGGUGUAAAGGGUGCGUAGGCGGUCGGAUAAGUUAGAGGUGAAAUCCCGAGGCUCAACUUCGGAAUUGCCUCUGAUACUGUUCGGCUAGAGAGUAGUUGCGGUAGGCGGAAUGUAUGGUGUAGCGGUGAAAUGCUUAGAGAUCAUACAGAACGCCGAUAGCGAAGGCAGCUUACCGGCGCUCAACUGACGCUGAGGCACGAAAGUGCGGGUAUCGAACAGG
rnacentral:rRNA from 1 species